rnacentral:rRNA from 1 species
UACGAAGGGUGCAAGCGUUAAUCGGAAUUACUGGGCGUAAAGCGCGCGCAGGCGGUCCUUUAAGUCUGAUGUGAAAGCCCACGGCUCAACCGUGGAGGGUCAUUGGAAACUGGGGGACUUGAGUACAGAAGAGGUGAGUGGAACUCCGAGUGUAGAGGUGAAAUUCGUAGAUAUUCGGAAGAACACCAGUGGCGAAGGCGGCUCACUGGUCCGGUACUGACGCUGAGGUGCGAAAGCGUGGGGAGCAAACAGG